rnacentral:rRNA from 1 species
GACGAACGCUGGCGGCGUGCUUAACACAUGCAAGUCGAACGGAAAGGCCCUGCUUUUGUGGGGUGCUCGAGUGGCGAACGGGUGAGUAACACGUGAGUAACCUGCCCUUGACUUUGGGAUAACUUCAGGAAACUGGGGCUAAUACCGGAUAGGAGCUCCUGCUGCAUGGUGGGGGUUGGAAAGUUUCGGCGGUUGGGGAUGGACUCGCGGCUUAUCAGCUUGUUGGUGGGGUAGUGGCUUACCAAGGCUUUGACGGGUAGCCGGCCUGUGAGGGUGACCGGCCACAUUGGGACUGAGAGACGGCCCAGACUCCUACGGGAGGCAGCAGUGGGGAAUAUUACACAAUGGGAGGAAGCCUGAUGCAGCAACGCCGCGUGCGGGAUGACGGCCUUCGGGUUGUAAACCGCUGUCGCCUGUGACGAAGCGUGAGUGACGGUAAUGGGUAAAGAAGCACCGGCUAACUACGUG